rnacentral:rRNA from 1 species
UACGGAAGGGGCUAGCGUUGUUCGGAAUUACUGGGCGUAAAGCGCACGUAGGCGGCUUUGUAAGUUAGAGGUGAAAGCCCGGGGCUCAACUCCGGAACUGCCUUUAAGACUGCAUCGCUUGAAUUGUGGAGAGGUAAGUGGAAUUCCGAGUGUAGAGGUGAAAUUCGUAGAUAUUCGGAAGAACACCAGUGGCGAAGGCGACUUACUGGACACAUAUUGACGCUGAGGUGCGAAAGCGUGGGGAGCAAACAGG